CUUGUAGUCCCUCCGUCCGGAAAUACUUGUCCAAAGAAUGGAUGUAUCUAGAUGUAUUUUAGUUUUAGAUAACCCAUUUGUAUCCAUUUUUAUGACAAGUAUUUCCGGACGGAGGGAGUAGUAA
rfam:Triticum aestivum genome assembly, contig: Triticum_aestivum_CS42_TGACv1_scaffold_472192_6AL